CAGAAUACCAACAUCUAUGUUCCAGUGGCUCUCUGCUUCAGAGAGGUUCCCUUUGCCUUUUCUUUUACUCGGAACUCCUCCACUUUAUUUCCACCUCCACCCGAGGAAAUAGUGUGCUUCAUUCACACAGACAGUCUGGAACUCUUGCCAAUUUGGGCUUUUUAGGCCAAAAAAUGAUGUAAACAGAGAGCAUGACUACUUGCUUAAAAAUGGAGUCUUUGCAGACCGCUCAAUUCCUGUACCUAUUGCUCAGGAAACAUUAUAGAAGAGGAGUGUUAAGUCUGUAAGAAGCUCAGGAUCAUACAGCUUUUGUAGAAUUGCGUCUCCCAGCAAUGUCAGAAGCUACGCCAAAAAGUCUCACCAACAUAACUGGCUAAACCUGAGCCGAACGAAGCCAAUACCAAACAUGACAAAGUGGAGGUAUGUGGUUCCCAUCUGUAAUGCCUACACCGAGUAAAUGAGGCAGGAGGAAGUGCGAACUGGACAUUUGAGCUAUAUGGGUUCUAAGGAUUCAGAGUGAGUCCCCGUUGUAAGAAAACCAAAACUCAGUAAAAAAUGGAAAGACCUAUGAGGGGUUCUCAUGGAGCCUGGAGUUCAUCAAUUCAACUGAUCUCUACGUGUACGCUAGAAUUGCAGGCAUGCUACAUGACCACUGAACGUCUAUGUGGGUAUCGGGAUCUAAAUUCUGGUGGUUGGACUGGCACAGCAAUUGCUUUGCCCACUGAUCUAUCGUCCCACACUUAAAAAAUCUGGAGAGAUAAUGUAGCACUUCUUUCAUAAAAUUCAAUUCUGUAAAAAAGUAUCAUGCC
rnacentral:sRNA from 1 species